UACGGAGGGUGGCGAGCGUUGUCCGGAAUCACUGGGCGUAAAGGGCGCGUAGGCGGCCUGAUAAGUAGGGGGGUGAAAUCCUGCGGCUUAACCGCAGGGCUGCCUUCUAAACUGUCGGGCUCGAGCACAGUAGAGGCAGGUGGAAUUCCCGGUGUAGCGGUGGAAUGCGCAGAUAUCAGGAGGAACACCGGUGGCGAAGGCGGGUCUCUGGGCCGAAACUGACGCUGAGGAGCGAAAGCGUGGGGAGCAAACAGG
rnacentral:rRNA from 1 species